AUGGAGAAGAAGCAGUUGACAAAAAUUAAUUUUUAUUAAAAUUUAAAAUUUAUUUUUACUUCACUUUCCUAUUUUUUAAUUAUAAUUUUUGUGCCACAUAAGCUUCUAGAAUGAUAUUAAAUUCACUUUUUUGAUGAUCAAGAGAGUGAUUAGUUUGAAUGUGAACUCGAUUUUUCGGCUAUAGUUCAGGGACCAGUGACGUGUCACCUCUCAUUGCCCAAAUAAUGUAUUUAUCUUUUUUCCCCUUCAUUUGUAGUUUUCAUUCUGUUCUCUCACUUCUACAUACUACAGAAUACCCAACACAGCUUAAUUGAUUGCUAAUGCCGAGCCGUUUCACCUUCUAUUUUUGAUGAUGAUGAGCCAUUUCUUAAUUAAUUUUAAUGGUUGCCUGUCAAUUUAACCAAACACAACCAACACCACGCUUAUACCGUUUCUAUUCCAUGAAAUCCCAGAAUUUUAAAUUCCUUCAAUUGAUAAUCUGACGCGAGAUGCGAUAUAUUUCGGAUAAAUUCAACUCUCACUGGUUUCGAACGCCGAUUCCUAGGGUGCAAUGACAACAAAUCUUAAGUUAAAAAAAGAAAAAAAUUAAAAGGAAGGCUGCGGCAUGAGGGGACGAUCACUCUUCCAUGCCUACUAAUUCUUUCUUCUAUUAUCCAUGAAAAGAGGUUUUUUAAUUCCUUUCAUGUAUGCCUUCCUUCUAUGUUUGAUAAUCAUUAUACGACCUUUUCUUGUGAAUUUGCUUUACAAUUCAUCAGGGAUUGAGCCAACCGCGGGAAAUUCAUCAAGCCCACUGCCAAAAUUGCAGCACCGUCGAUCUGAGUUGGGAUCCAAUUAUCGACUUUGAAGUUGGUUCGAUCACAAAAUGGAAUAUAAACAUUUUCAAUAAUUGUAGUAAAAGAUCAAUCAUUAUCUCCAUUAGUGGCCAAAUGUGGAUAUCAAGGAACUGGAUGAGCUGGACGUCUUAGCAUGGGGGAAGAAAUACAAGGCAAGUCAUCCGAUACUCUCAAGAAUGACUCGAGAUAUCCUUACGGUUCAAGUAUCAACCGUGUCUUCGGAGAGUGCAUUUAGACAAGGAAGACAACAAAUUGGAGACCAUAGACACUCAUUAUCCGGCUUUAGCUUGCAAGUACUAGCGCGCAUUCACGAUUGGAUUAGAUCGGAGCGACGCAACCAGAACUUAGAAGCGGAGGAAGGCGAAGAGGAAAAGAUUGAAGAUUUGAUAGCAAGUGGACCGGACCAAAUGAAAGACUUUGAAGAUAUCUCCAUGACCGAAUAUGAUAUGGGAGAAAUUAACCAAAUGAUUGAGAAUUGGUGAUUUUAUUAUUCUACUAUUUUUUUGCAACUCAUGUAUUAUUUGCAAGUUAAAAAAACUACAACUUGCAAAUAAAUGUUAUAUAAAAAUGAAUAAAAUAUAUGGCUCA